AGCAGCCGCGGUAAUUCCAGCUCCAAUAGCGUAUAUUAAAGUUGUUGCAGUUAAAAAGCUCGUAGUUGGAUUUCGGGGUUAGUAAGUUGGUCAUGCCUCUGGUAUGAACUGGCUUUACUGAUUCCUCCUUCUUGAUGAACUGUAAUGUCAUUAAUUUGGUGUUGCAGGGAAUCAGGACUGUUACUUUGAAAAAUUAGAGUGUUUAAAGCAGGCAUACGCUUGAAUACAUUAGCAUGGAAUAAUAAAAUAGGACGUUUGAUCCUAUUUUGUUGGUUUCUAGGAUUGACGUAAUGAUUAAUAGGGAUAGUUGGGGGCAUUAGUAUUCGAUUGUCAGAGGUGAAAUUCUUGGAUUUAUUGAAGACUAACUACUGACGAAAGCAUUUGCCAAGGAUGUUUUCAUUAAUCAAAGAACGAAAGUUAGGGGAUCGAAGACGAUCAGAUACCGUCGUAGUCUUAACCGUAAACUAUGCCGACUAGGGAUCGGAUGAUGUUAUUUUUAAUGUACUCAUUCGGCGCCUU
rnacentral:rRNA from 1 species